GUCUCUGUCUGCCAGCGGUCAGGCAGCCGGUCUCUCAACCCGGCAACGGUGGGUUCGAUUCCCCCCAGAGACA
rnacentral:tRNA from 1 species